rnacentral:rRNA from 1 species
UGGGGAAUAUUGGACAAUGGGCGCAAGCCUGAUCCAGCCAUGCCGCGUGAGUGAUGAAGGCCCUAGGGUUGUAAAGCUCUUUCACCGGUGAAGAUAAUGACGGUAACCGGAGAAGAAGCCCCGGCUAACUUCGUGCCAGCAGCCGCGGUAAUACGAAGGGGGCUAGCGUUGUUCGGAUUUACUGGGCGUAAAGCGCACGUAGGCGGACUAAUAAGUCAGGGGUGAAAUCCCGGGGCUCAACCCCGGAACUGCCUUUGAUACUGUUAGUCUUGAGUAUGGAAGAGGUGAGUGGAAUUCCGAGUGUAGAGGUGAAAUUCGUAGAUAUUCGGAGGAACACCAGUGGCGAAGGCGGCUCACUGGUCCAUUACUGACGCUGAGGUGCGAAAGCGUGGGGAGCAAACA